rnacentral:rRNA from 1 species
UGCCAGCCGCCGCGGUAAUACGUAGGGUGCAAGCGUUGUCCGGAUUUAUUGGGUUUAAAGGGUGCGCAGGCGGCGUACUAAGUUAGUGGUGAAAUCGUACGGCUUAACCGUAUACCCGCCAUUGAUACUGGUAUGCUUGAGUAUGUUUGAGGAAGUUGGAAUGCGUGGUGUAGCGGUGAAAUGCAUAGAUAUCACGCAGAACACCGAUUGCGAAGGCAGACUUCUAGGACAUAACUGACGCUGAGGCACGAAAGCGUGGGGAGCGAACAGGAUUAGAUA